ACGGAAGGCAGCAGUGGGGAAUAUUGCACAAUGGGGGAAACCCUGAUGCAGCAACGCCGCGUGAGUGAAGAAGUAUUUCGGUAUGUAAAGCUCUAUCAGCAGGGAAGAUAAUGACGGUACCUGACUAAGAAGCUCCGGCUAAAUACGUGCCAGCAGCCGCGGUAAUACGUAUGGAGCAAGCGUUAUCCGGAUUUACUGGGUGUAAAGGGUGCGUAGGUGGCACUGCAAGUCAGAUGUGAAAGACCGGGGCUCAACCCCGGGGCUGCAUUUGAAACUGCGGGGCUGGAGUGCAGGAGAGGCAAGCGGAAUUCCUAGUGUAGCGGUGAAAUGCGUAGAUAUUAGGAGGAACACCAGUGGCGAAGGCGGCUUACUGGACUGUAACUGACGUUGAGGCUCGAAAGCGUGGGGAGCAAACAGGAUUAGAUACCCUGGUA
rnacentral:rRNA from 1 species